UACAUAGGGUGCAAGCGUUGUCCGGAAUUAUUGGGCGUAAAGAGCUCGUAGGUCGUUUGUUACGUCGGAUGUGAAACCUGAGGCUCACCUCAGCCUGCAUUCGAUACGGGCAAACUAGAGUUUGGUAGGGGAGACUGGAAUUCCUGGUGUAGCGGUGGAAUGCGCAGAUAUCAGGAGGAACACCAAUGGCGAAGGCAGGUCUCUGGGCCAAUACUGACACUGAGGAGCGAAAGUCUGGGGAGCGAACAGG
rnacentral:rRNA from 1 species